GAGGAUAUAGCUCAGUGGCAGAGGACAUGCCUAGCAUGCACGAGGUCCUUGGUUCGAACCCCUGUACCUUCA
rnacentral:tRNA from 1 species